rnacentral:pre_miRNA from 1 species
CUGGUUAAGCUGGAGAAGCAGGGCACAUGCUGAAGCACCUGGAUCGAUUUCGACAUGGGAUUUUAGCAUGUGCUCUCCUUCUCCACCUUAAAGGC